CAGUCGAGCGAACCGACGGGAGCUUGCUCCCUUAGGUUAGCGGCGGACGGGUGAGUAACACGUGGGUAACCUGCCUGUAAGACUGGGAUAACUCCGGGAAACCGGGGCUAAUACCGGAUGCUUGAUUGAACCGCAUGGUUCAAUCAUAAAAGGCGGCUUCGGCUGCCGUUUACAGAUGGACCCGCGGCGCAUUAGCUAGUUGGUGAGGUAACGGCUCACCAAGGCGACGAUGCGUAGCCGACCUGAGAGGGUGAUCGGCCACACUGGGACUGAGACACGGCCCAGACUCCUACGGGAGGCAGCAGUAGGGAAUCUUCCGCAAUGGACGAAAGUCUGACGGAGCAACGCCGCGUGAGUGAUGAAGGUUUUCGGAUCGUAAAGCUCUGUUGUUAGGGAAGAACAAGUACCGUUCGAAUAGGGCGGUACCUUGACGGUACCUAACCAGAAAGCCACGGCUAACUACGUGCCAGCAGCCGCGGUAAUACGUAGGUGGCAAGCGUUGUCCGGAAUUAUUGGGCGUAAAGCGCGCGCAGGCGGUUUCUUAAGUCUGAUGUGAAAGCCCCCGGCUCAACCGGGGAGGGUCAUUGGAAACUGGGGAACUUGAGUGCAGAAGAGGAGAGUGGAAUUCCACGUGUAGCGGUGAAAUGCGUAGAGAUGUGGAGGAACACCAGUGGCGAAGGCGACUCUCUGGUCUGUAACUGACGCUGAGGCGCGAAAGCGUGGGGAGCGAACAGGAUUAGAUACCCUGGUAGUCCACGCCGUAAACGAUGAGUGCUAAGUGUUAGAGGGUUUCCGCCCUUUAGUGCUGCAGCAAACGCAUUAAGCACUCCGCCUGGGGAGUACGGUCGCAAGACUGAAACUCAAAGGAAUUGACGGGGGCCCGCACAAGCGGUGGAGCAUGUGGUUUAAUUCGAAGCAACGCGAAGAACCUUACCAGGUCUUGACAUCCUCUGACACCCCUAGAGAUAGGGCUUCCCCUUCGGGGGCAGAGUGACAGGUGGUGCAUGGUUGUCGUCAGCUCGUGUCGUGAGAUGUUGGGUUAAGUCCCGCAACGAGCGCAACCCUUGAUCUUAGUUGCCAGCAUUCAGUUGGGCACUCUAAGGUGACUGCCGGUGACAACCGGAGGAAGGUGGGNAUGACGUCAAUCAUCAUGCCCCUUAUGACCUGGG
rnacentral:rRNA from 1 species